UAGCUCAAUGGUUGAGCGUUGGCUUUGGAAGCCACAGGUCGGUGGUUCAAAUCCACC
rnacentral:tRNA from 1 species